rnacentral:rRNA from 1 species
CCUAGAGUUUGAUCCUGGCUCAGAUUGAACGCUGGCGGCAGGCCUAACACAUGCAAGUCGAGCGGUAGCACAGAGAGCUUGCUCUCGGGUGACGAGCGGCGGACGGGUGAGUAAUGUCUGGGAAACUGCCUGAUGGAGGGGGAUAACUACUGGAAACGGUAGCUAAUACCGCAUAACGUCGCAAGACCAAAGUGGGGGACCUUCGGGCCUCAUGCCAUCAGAUGUGCCCAGAUGGGAUUAGCUAGUAGGUGGGGUAAUGGCUCACCUAGGCGACGAUCCCUAGCUGGUCUGAGAGGAUGACCAGCCACACUGGAACUGAGACACGGUCCAGACUCCUACGGGAGGCAGCAGUGGGGAAUAUUGCACAAUGGGCGCAAGCCUGAUGCAGCCAUGCCGCGUGUGUGAAGAAGGCCUUCGGGUUGUAAAGCACUUUCAGCGGGGAGGAAGGCGUUAAGGUUAAUAACCUUGGCGAUUGACGUUACCCGCAGAAGAAGCACCGGCUAACUCCGUGCCAGCAGCCGCGGUAAUACGGAGGGUGCAAGCGUUAAUCGGAAUUACUGGGCGUAAAGCGCACGCAGGCGGUCUGUCAAGUCGGAUGUGAAAUCCCCGGGCUCAACCUGGGAACUGCAUUCGAAACUGGCAGGCUAGAGUCUUGUAGAGGGGGGUAGAAUUCCAGGUGUAGCGGUGAAAUGCGUAGAGAUCUGGAGGAAUACCGGUGGCGAAGGCGGCCCCCUGGACAAAGACUGACGCUCAGGUGCGAAAGCGUGGGGAGCAAACAGGAUUAGAUACCCUGGUAGUCCACGCCGUAAACGAUGUCGAUUUGGAGGUUGUGCCCUUGAGGCGUGGCUUCCGGAGCUAACGC